rnacentral:rRNA from 1 species
UGAUCCUGGCUCAGGAUGAACGCUGGCGGCGUGCCUAAUACAUGCAAGUCGAACGCGCAGCGAAGAGUGCUUGCACUCUUCAAGCGAGUGGCGAACGGGUGAGUAACACGUGAAUAACCUACCGAAAAGCAGGGGAUAACAUUUGGAAACAGAUGCUAAUACCGUAUAAAACGUGCUGUCGCAUGACAAAACGUUAAAAGGUCCGUUUGGACCACUUUUUGAUGGAUUCGCGGUGCAUUAGUUAGUUGGUGGGGUAAAGGCUCACCAAGACGAUGAUGCAUAGCCGAGUUGAGAGACUGACCGGCCACAUUGGGACUGAGACACGGCCCAAACUCCUACGGGAGGCUGCAGUAGGGAAUCUUCCACAAUGGGCGCAAGCCUGAUGGAGCAACGCCGCGUGUGUGAUGAAGGCUUUCGGGUCGUAAAGCACUGUUGUAUGGGAAGAACGGUAAGGGUAGGAAAUGAUCUUUACAUGACGGUACCAUACCAGAAA